rnacentral:rRNA from 1 species
AGAGUUUGAUCCUGGCUCAGGAUGAACGCUAGCGGGAGGCUUAACACAUGCAAGUCGAGCGGGAUUAGCAGCAAUGCUAUGAAAGCGGCGCACGGGUGCGUAACGCGUAUGCAACCUGCCUUAUACAGGGGAAUAGCCCAUGGAAACGUGGAUUAACGUCCCAUAGGAUCACGGGAUCGCAUGGUUUUGUGAUUAAAACUGAGGUGGUAUAAGAUGGGCAUGCGUCUGAUUAGGUAGUUGGUGAGGUAAUGGCUCACCAAGCCGACGAUCAGUAGGGGUUCUGAGAGGAUUACCCCCCACACUGGUACUGAGACACGGACCAGACUCCUACGGGAGGCAGCAGUGAGGAAUAUUGGUCAAUGGCCGGAAGGCUGAACCAGCCAUCCCGCGUGCAGGAUGACGGCCCUAUGGGUUGUAAACUGCUUUUGUACCUGAAGAAACCUGGUUACGAGUAACCAGUUGCCGGUAAGGUAUGAAUAAGCAUCGGCUAACUCCGUGCCAGCAGCCGCGGUAAUACGGAGGAUGCAAGCGUUAUCCGGAUUCAUUGGGUUUAAAGGGUGCGCAGGUGGGAAAAUAAGUCAGUGGUGAAAUACUGCCGCUUAACGGUAGAAUUGCCAUUGAUACUGUUUUUCUUGAGUAUGGUUGAGGUAGGUGGAAUGUGUUGUGUAGCGGUGAAAUGCAUAGAUAUGACACAGAACGCCGAUUGCGAAGGCAGCUUACUAAGCCAUUACUGACGCUGAGGCACGAAAGCGUGGGGAUCAAACAGGAUUAGAUACCCUGGUAGUCCACGCCGUAAACGAUGAUCACUCGCUGUUUGCGAUAUACAGCAAGCGGCUGAGCGAAAGCAUUAAGUGAUCCACCUGGGGAGUACGAUCGCAAGGUUGAAACUCAAAUGAAUUGACGG